AUGAAACUUCCUAAAUCCAUGGGGGGUAUGGGCUUUAGGGAUAUGAGAGCGUUCAACCAAGCGUUAUUGGCCAAGCAAGCUUGGAGACUUCUUGAUUCCCCUGACAGCCUAUGUGCGAGACUGUUGAAGACAAAGUAUUACCCUCAUGGUCAGUUGUUAGACACAGUGUUUCCAAACACUGGUUCUGCGGUGUGGAAAGGUAUAUUGCAUGGGUUGGAGUUGUUGAAAAGAGGAGUUAUAUGGUGGGUGGGGGACGGGGAGCACAUCCGGACGUGGCGAGACCCCUGGAUCCCACGGCCAUCCUCCUUCCGUCUGAUCACCCCGAAGGGAACCUGCCGUCUAAAUCAUGUUUUAGAUUCUCUGGACGCCAAUGGGGCAUGGAGGGCUGAUUGUCUUCGUGAAUAUUUUUGGGAGAUGGAUGUUCUACAUAUUCUCAAGAUACACACCUCUCUAAGGCAGCGUUCCGACUUCCUGUCAUGGUUUCCAGAGAAGAGUGGAGUAUUUUCAGUUAAGAGUGCAUACAAAUUAGUCACAUGCGAUCAUGAUACAGUUUUUUCUAAAGGGGCAUCAAGUGCGGCGGCAAAUGGUUCCCGCUCUCUUUGA
rnacentral:rRNA from 1 species